UUAGAGUUUGAUCCUGGCUCAGCGCGAACGCUGGCGGCGUGCCUAACACAUGCAAGUCGUGCGGAGGGGUGAUGAGCCCCUCAGCGGCAAACGGGUGAGUAACACGUGAGUAACCUACCCUUGGGAAGGGGAUAACCCUCCGAAAGGAGGGCUAAUACCCUAUACUGCCGAGGACCACUAAGGUCUCCCGGUGAAAGGUGGCCUCUGCUCUGCAUGCUACCGCCCAAGGAGGGGCUCGCGGCCCAUCAGGUAGUUGGUGGGGUAACGGCCUACCAAGCCUAUGACGGGUAGCCGGCCUGAGAGGGUGGUCGGCCACAGUGGGACUGAGACACGGCCCACACCCCUACGGGGGGCAGCAGUGGGGAAUCGUGGGCAAUGGGCGAAAGCCUGACCCCGCGACGCCGCGUGGAGGAAGAAGCCCUUCGGGGUGUAAACUCCUGUCGGGGGGGACGAUGUGCCUUGGGAUGAAUAAUUCCAGGGCAUGACGGUACCCCCAGAGGAAGGGACGGCUAACUACGUGCCAGCAGCCGCGGUAAUACGUAGGUCCCGAGCGUUGCGCGAAUUCACUGGGCGUAAAGCGUCCGCAGCCGGACGGGUAAGCGGUGCGUCAAAGCCCACCGCUCAACGGUGGAACGGCGUACCGAACUGCCUGUCUUGAGGCACGCUUAGGCAGGCGGAAUUCCCGGUGUAGCGGUGAAAUGCGUAGAUAUCGGAGGAACACCGAAGCGAAGCAGCCUGCUGGGCUGUC
rnacentral:rRNA from 1 species